rnacentral:rRNA from 1 species
GAUGAACGCUGGCGGCGUGCCUAAUACAUGCAAGUCGAGCGAACAGACGAGGAGCUUGCUCCUCUGACGUUAGCGGCGGACGGGUGAGUAACACGUGGAUAACCUACCUAUAAGACUGGGAUAACUUCGGGAAACCGGAGCUAAUACCGGAUAAUAUAUUGAACCGCAUGGUUCAAUAGUGAAAGACGGUUUUGCUGUCACUUAUAGAUGGAUCCGCGCCGCAUUAGCUAGUUGGUAAGGUAACGGCUUACCAAGGCAACGAUGCGUAGCCGACCUGAGAGGGUGAUCGGCCACCCUGGAACUGAGACACGGUCCAGACUCCUACGGGAGGCAGCAGUAGGGAAUCUUCCGCAAUGGGCGAAAGCCUGACGGAGCAACGCCGCGUGAGUGAUGAAGGUCUUCGGAUCGUAAAACUCUGUUAUUAGGGAAGAACAAAUGUGUAAGUAACUAUGCACGUCUUGACGGUACCUAAUCAGAAAGCCACGGCUAACUCCGUG